rnacentral:rRNA from 1 species
AGAGUUUGAUCCUGGCUCAGGAUGAACACUAGCUACAGGCUUAACACAUGCAAGUCGAGGGGCAGCAUGGUCUUAGCUUGCUAAGGCCGAUGGCGACCGGCGCACGGGUGAGUAACACGUAUCCAACCUGCCGUCUACUCUUGGACAGCCUUCUGAAAGGAAGAUUAAUACAAGAUGGCAUCAUGAGUCCGCAUGUUCACAUGAUUAAAGGUAUUCCGGUAGACGAUGGGGAUGCGUUCCAUUAGAUAGUAGGCGGGGUAACGGCCCACCUAGUCUUCGAUGGAUAGGGGUUCUGAGAGGAAGGUCCCCCACAUUGGAACUGAGACACGGUCCAAACUCCUACGGGAGGCAGCAGUGAGGAAUAUUGGUCAAUGGGCGAGAGCCUGAACCAGCCAAGUAGCGUGAAGGAUGACUGCCCUAUGGGUUGUAAACUUCUUUUAUAAAGGAAUAAAGUCGGGUAUGGAUACCCGUUUGCAUGUACUUUAUGAAUAAGGAUCGGCUAACUCCGUGCCAGCAGCCGCGGUAAUACGGAGGAUCCGAGCGUUAUCCGGAUUUAUUGGGUUUAAAGGGAGCGUAGAUGGAUGUUUAAGUCAGUUGUGAAAGUUUGCGGCUCAACCGUAAAAUUGCAGUUGAUACUGGAUAUCUUGAGUGCAGUUGAGGCAGGCGGAAUUCGUGGUGUAGCGGUGAAAUGCUUAGAUAUCACGAAGAACUCCGAUUGCGAAGGCAGCCUGCUAAGCUGCAACUGACAUUGAGGCUCGAAAGUGUGGGUAUCAAACAGGAUUAGAUACCCUGGUAGUCCACACGGUAAACGAUGAAUACUCGCUGUUUGCGAUAUACUGCAAGCGGCCAAGCGAAAGCGUUAAGUAUUCCACCUGGGGAGUACGCCGGCAACGGUGAAACUCAAAGGAAUUGACGGGGGCCCGCACAAGCGGAGGAACAUGUGGUUUAAUUCGAUGAUACGCGAGGAACCUUACCCGGGCUUAAAUUGCAGAUGAAUUACGGUGAAAGCCGUAAGCCGCAAGGCAUCUGUGAAGGUGCUGCAUGGUUGUCGUCAGCUCGUGCCGUGAGGUGUCGGCUUAAGUGCCAUAACGAGCGCAACCCUUGUUGUCAGUUACUAACAGGUUCCGCUGAGGACUCUGACAAGACUGCCAUCGUAAGAUGUGAGGAAGGUGGGGAUGACGUCAAAUCAGCACGGCCCUUACGUCCGGGGCUACACACGUGUUACAAUGGGGGGUACAGAGGGCCGCUACCACGCGAGUGGAUGCCAAUCCCCAAAACCUCUCUCAGUUCGGACUGGAGUCUGCAACCCGACUCCACGAAGCUGGAUUCGCUAGUAAUCGCGCAUCAGCCACGGCGCGGUGAAUACGUUCCCGGGCCUUGUACACACCGCCCGUCAAGCCAUGGGAGCCGGGGGUACCUGAAGUGCGUAACCGCGAGGAGCGCCCUAGGGUAAAACUGGUGACUGGGGCUAAGUCGUAACAAGGUAACC